rnacentral:rRNA from 1 species
UUAUUCGGAAUCACUGGGCUUAAAGGGUGCGUAGGCCGCACGGUAAGUCAGAGGUGAAAUCCCGGAGCUCAACUUCGGAAUUGCCUCCGAUACUGCCGUGCUUGAGGACUGGAGAGGAGAUUGGAAUUCACAGUGGAGCAGUGAAAUGCGUAGAUAUUGUGAGGAACACGAGUGGCGAAGGCGAAUCUCUGGACAGUUCCUGACGCUGAGGCACGAAGGCCAGGGGAGCAAACGGG